rnacentral:misc_RNA from 1 species
CUUGCAUUGCACGUUGAACCAAAACCAGUAGAUGAACGUUGAGGUCUUGGGUCUAUUAUCUCAAGCCCAGCUCUCUGGUCUUCUUUCUAUGCAAACAAAAGGGAAAUCUAGCCUCUCUGGUCUUCUUUCUAUGCAAACAAAAGGGAAAUCUAGCCGAAAUUUACAUUUCACAGUCCAUUUCCACUAAAAGCACAAAAUCUUUUGAUACAAAUACUUGUAAUUCAUAUAUAGCGAUGGAAGACAUCAAGAUUUCACCGACGAAAGAGGAUAAACAGCCGAAAGAGCAAAAAACUGAACAGAAACAAGAACCUACAACAGAGGAAUCUCCCUCACCGCCGCCAACGGAACCUAAGAGAGGAGGAGGAGGAUGGGGAGGG